rnacentral:rRNA from 1 species
AACGAACGCUGGCGGCAUGCCUAACACAUGCAAGUCGAACGAUUGCCUUCGGGUGAUAGUGGCGCACGGGUGCGUAACGCGUGGGAAUCUGCCCUUAGGUUCGGAAUAACAGCUGGAAACAGCUGCUAAUACCGGAUGAUAUCGCGAGAUCAAAGAUUUAUCGCCUGAGGAUGAGCCCGCGUUGGAUUAGGUAGUUGGUGGGGUAAAGGCCUACCAAGCCGACGAUCCAUAGCUGGUCUGAGAGGAUGAUCAGCCACACUGGGACUGAGACACGGCCCAGACUCCUACGGGAGGCAGCAGUGGGGAAUAUUGGACAAUGGGCGCAAGCCUGAUCCAGCAAUGCCGCGUGAGUGAUGAAGGCCCUAGGGUUGUAAAGCUCUUUUACCCGGGAAGAUAAUGACUGUACCGGGAGAAUAAGCCCCGGCUAACUCCGUG